UACAGAGGUCCCGAGCGUUGUUCGGAAUCACUGGGCGUAAAGGGUGCGUAGGCGGGUCUUUAAGUCAGGGGUGAAAUCCUGGAGCUCAACUCCAGAACUGCCUUUGAUACUGAAGAUCUUGAGUUCGGGAGAGGUGAGUGGAACUGCGAGUGUAGAGGUGAAAUUCGUAGAUAUUCGCAAGAACACCAGUGGCGAAGGCGGCUCACUGGCCCGAUACUGACGCUGAGGCACGAAAGCGUGGGGAGCAACAGG
rnacentral:rRNA from 1 species